rnacentral:rRNA from 1 species
UUCCGGUUGAUCCCGCCGGAGGCUACUGCUAUCGGGGUUCGAUUAAGCCAUGCGAGUUAAAUGUUCUUCGUGAACAUAGCGAACUGCUCAGUAACACGUGGAUAACCUACCCUUAGGACCGGAAUAACCCCGGGAAACUGGGGAUAAUACCGGAUAAGCCAUAGACGCUGGAAUGCCCUAUGGUUCAAAGCUCCGGCGCCUAAGGAUGGAUCUGCGGUCUAUCAGGUUGUAGUGGGUGUAACGUACCUACUAGCCGACGACGGAUACGGGUUGUGAGAGCAAGAGCCCGGAGAUGGAUUCUGAGACACGAUAUCGGGCCCUACGGGGCGCAGCAGGCGCGAAAACUUCACACUGUGCGGAAGCGCGAUGAGGGAAUCCCAAGUGUUUGCUCGUAAGAGUAAACUGUUUCUUUGUUUAAAACGCAGAGAGAGUAAGGGCUGGGUAAGACGGGUGCCAGCCGCCGCGGUAAUACCUGCAGCUCGAGUGGUGAUCAUUAUUAUUGGGCCUAAAACGUCCGUAGCCGGUUUAGUAAAUGCCUGGGUAAAUCGUGUAGCUUAACUAUACGACUUCCGGGUAGACUGCUAAACUUGAGACCGGGAGAGGCUAGAGGUACUCCUGGGGUAGAGGUGAAAUUCUGUAAUCCUAGGGGGACCACCAGUGGCGAAGGCGUCUAGCUAGAACGGGUCUGACGGUGAGGGACGAAGCCCUGGGGCACAAACCGGAUUAGAUACCCGGGUAGUCCAGGGUGUAAACGCUGCUUGCUUGAUGUUAGUUGGGCUCCGAGCCCAACUAGUGUCGGAGAGAAGUUGUUAAGCAAGCUGCCUGGGAAGUACGGUCGCAAGGCUGAAACUUAAAGGAAUUGGCGGGGGAGCACAGCAACGGGUGGAGCGUGCGGUUUAAUUGGAUUCAACGCCGGA